rnacentral:rRNA from 1 species
UACGUAGGGGGCAAGCGUUGUCCGGAAUCAUUGGGCGUAAAGAGCGUGUAGGCGGUCCGAUAAGUCCGCUGUGAAAGUCCAGGGCUCAACCCUGGAAUGCCGGUGGAUACUGUCGGGCUCGAAUCCGGAAGAGGUGAGUGGAAUUCCUGGUGUAGCGGUGAAAUGCGCAGAUAUCAGGAGGAACACCAAUGGCGAAGGCAGCUCACUGGGACGGUAUUGACGCUGAGACGCGAAAGCGUGGGGAGCAAACAGG